rnacentral:rRNA from 1 species
ACGCUGGCGGCAUGCCUAACACAUGCAAGUCGAACGAAGGCUUCGGCCUUGGUGGCGCACGGGUGCGUAACGCGUGGGAAUCUGCCCCUUGGUUCGGAAUAACAGUUGGAAACGACUGCUAAUACCGGAUGAUGACGUAAGUCCAAAGAUUUAUCGCCGAGGGAUGAGCCCGCGUAGGAUUAGGUAGUUGGUGUGGUAAGGGCGCGCCAAGCCGACGAUCCUUAGCUGGUCUGAGAGGAUGAUCAGCCACACUGGGACUGAGACACGGCCCAGACUCCUACGGGAGGCAGCAGUGGGGAAUAUUGGACAAUGGGCGAAAGCCUGAUCCAGCAAUGCCGCGUGAGUGAUGAAGGCCUUAGGGUUGUAAAGCUCUUUUACCCGGGAUGAUAAUGACAGUACCGGGAGAAUAAGCUCCGGCUAACUCCGUGCCAGCAGCCGCGGUAAUACGGAGGGAGCUAGCGUUAUUCGGAAUUACUGGGCGUAAAGCGCACGUAGGCGGCUUUGUAAGUAAGAGGUGAAAGCCCAGAGCUCAACUCUGGAAUUGCCUUUUAGACUGCAUCGCUUGAAUCAUGGAGAGGUCAGUGGAACUCCAUGUGUAGCGGUGGAAUGCGUAGAUAUAUGGAAGAACACCAGUGGCGAAGGCGGCUUACUGGACUGCAACUGACGUUGAGGCUCGAAAGUGUGGGUAGCAAAC